GUUUGUAUGUGGUUGGGUGGAUAGGUUUGGACUGUCGCGGCUGUGGUGAGACUGGCGGAGGCUCCGAGUUUGCUGUUUUGUUAAAAAGCGAGGUGACGUUUCUUUCGCCCUUUGAUGAAAAUGGCUCUAAACAGAAACCACGCGCACGCAUUUCUGUUUCUCACUCUGAUGUUCAUCGCUGGCGCUGCUUCAACAGACGCAGAUUGUCCAGAUGGUGUUGGUCAGAUUGGUGAAGGAUACAGAAUAGUCUGUGACAGAAGCAACUACACAGGCUUCGCGUGGGUGCAACCUGGUGGCAAGUACGUCGUCACCUGCAACCCCAACUGCAGCUCUGUGGCUGGAUACAGUGCAACCAGGAACA